CCUACGGGAGGCAGCAGUGGGGAAUAUUGGGCAAUGGGCGCAAGCCUGACCCAGCAACGCCGCGUGAAGGAAGAAGGCUCUCGGGUUGUAAACUUCUUUUGACAGGGAAGAGUAGAAGACGGUACCUGUCGAAUAAGCCACGGCUAACUACGUGCCAGCAGCCGCGGUAAUACGUAGGUGGCAGGCGUUGUCCGGAUUUACUGGGUGUAAAGGGCGUGUAGCCGGGUUGACAAGUCAGAUGUGAAAUCCUGCGGCUUAACCGCAGAACUGCAUUUGAAACUGUUGAUCUUGAGUACUGGAGAGGCAGACGGAAUUCCUAGUGUAGCGGUGAAAUGCGUAGAUAUUAGGAGGAACACCAGUGGCGAAGGCAGUCUGCUGGACAGCAACUGACGGUGAGGCGCGAAAGCGUGGGGAGCAAACAGGAUUAGAUACCCGAGUAGUC
rnacentral:rRNA from 1 species